rnacentral:lncRNA from 1 species
AAGUAAAAGGUGAUUGUGAAGUCAGAUAUACACACUGGCAAAUGGAUUUGGGUAAAAAGCGGUCUGUGAAGCAUCCAGCGAACUCCAGCCACGUUCAGCACUCAUGGCAAGGGAGAGGGCAGGGGUGGGGGUGGGGUCUUCCCAUAGAGGCCUGAGAGAGGACGGGCGCUGCAAGGAUGGGCAAGUUCAGACAACUCUGGUGCCUUCAACUGAAUCACCGUAAGGCGCUGAGGAUUUUACCACCACUGACCAGCCCGACGCCAUGAGCUUCCCUGAAGAAAUAAAAUAUCAAAGUUGUACCCUCAAUCCAAGGUCUGCUGUGGUGAAAGGGGAGGACAUGCAAGCUAUGAUCCCUAGCCUCAAGAUGUUCCCAGGACAAUGAGGCUGAUCGUGAAUUCAGCAGGCUGGG